rnacentral:rRNA from 1 species
UACGUAGGGCGCAAGCGUUAUCCGGAAUUAUUGGGCGUAAAGAGCUCGUAGGCGGCCUGUUGCGUCCGCUGUGAAAGCCCGGGGCUUAACCCCGGGUCGGCAGUGGAUACGGGCAGGCUAGAGGUAGGUAGGGGAGAAUGGAAUUCCCGGUGUAGCGGUGAAAUGCGCAGAUAUCGGGAGGAACACCGGUGGCGAAGGCGGUUCUCUGGGCCUUACCUGACGCUGAGGAGCGAAAGCGUGGGGAGCGAACAGG